AACCCGGUGUUUUUCAACACCACCACACAGUUCAUAGAGCCAGGUC
rfam:Gonium pectorale scaffold00015, whole genome shotgun sequence.